rnacentral:lncRNA from 1 species
AUGGAGAGGACGCAAGAGCAGCAGCAGAACAGGAAGCCAGCUGCUGGGGCUAGCGAAGCCAAGGGGAAGAUAGAGGAAGGGUUGCCAAUGAAGGACAGUCCGUACCUGCAGUACGAUGACUUGGAGGAUUACAAGCGUCAGGCCUAUGGAACGGAAGGCCAUCUCCAGGUGGAGCCCGGCCGAGGCGCCGGGUCCACCGAGGGCCCCACUGUUUCUGGCGCCAAUGUCUCCUCUCAGGGUGAUCUCUCCGCCACCGAAGCUAUUAACCGCCAAGGAGUUCCUUAA